GAGGCGGAUUGUAGAUGGUGAUC
rnacentral:siRNA from 1 species